CAGAGUUGCAAAACUCCCACAACCCUUGUGAACUAACCGUACCAGGUUGCCUCGGGGCGGCCGGAAGCCCUGGGCCCCGGAUCUCGGGUCUCCGGGGAGGCUGCCCGGAGGACGAAACAAACUCUUGAUUUUAUAGUCUCUCUGAGUACUUAUUCAAUAAGUUA
rnacentral:misc_RNA from 1 species